UGCCCCGCAACCAGCCCCAGCCACGGCCCAGAGCUGCGCAGGUGGAGUGGGAGGGGGAGAUGAUGAGGAACCUCGUCGGGAAAGGAGACGGAAAUCAAGGGAGAGUUUUACUCGCAGCAGGGUCCUAAAACAGCAGCACUGACCCUCGAAGGAUGCUCAUCACAGCAAGGGGAUUUGGAUGGCUCUGUGACCAUCAGCAGCAGAGCAGUGCGUCCUCAGGGAGCGGGAGCACCUGGUGCAGCGGGAGCCAAUUCAUGGCCAUGGGUGCCACGCUGGGACAGUACAGCCCCUGGAACAUGGGUGGUUGAAGGCACUUGCUGCUCCCAGGGAGCAAUGGAGCAAUGCCCACAGCAGGAAGGUCUCAGUCUUGCUGCUGUGCCUGGUACUGCAGUGGUCUCCAUGGUGCCUCCGGGCUUCUGCUGCUGUGGUCUCUGCCAGUCUGGAUGGGCACUUGUCACGCUUUUCAAUGGGUAGCAUUUUUCUGCUCCCCAUUUCCCAUACUCUGCAAAGCUGCAGCAGC
rnacentral:lncRNA from 1 species